UUCCUUAAAUGUGUAACAUGCUUCAUAAUUUUUCAAGACCUUCCUUGUAUAUGUUUUGUACGUUACAGGAAGAUAUUUAAACAGGUAGAAGUCCGACAAGAAAUAUUCUCAUUGAAACACGGAGAGAGUUUUCAAAACAAUUUGAAAAUGAAAUUUUUCACUAUAAUAGCUGUUUUCGUUGUUAUGGCAACAGUUAUCUGCAUUUCACAGGCAGACUCGUCAUCGUCAUCGUCAGAAGAGAGAGGAUGGUACUUCAAUAAUUACCAAAGAGGACGAUACUUCCCUGAUAACCGAUACUACGGAGGCAGACAAGACUACAGUGAAAGAAGAUCUCCCGAUAGAGAUAUUCCAGAUAUUUUCGAAUGAAUAUUCUGAAGAAGCGAAAGAUGCUAUAAAGAGAGAAGAUUUCAAAGUAUAUGUCUGCAGAUGUUUUAUUUUCUUUUAGCUUGAUGAUAUCUUAUUUUCAUAAGUGAUUUCUUUAUUCAUCGAAACUCCAGUCAAACAAACUAUAUGUGUUGUCAUUCAUUAAUCAAUAAACUGUAAGCUUUUGU